rnacentral:rRNA from 1 species
GAUGAACGCUAGCUACAGGCUUAACACAUGCAAGUCGAGGGGUAGCAGGGUAGCAAUACCGCUGACGACCGGCGCACGGGUGAGUAACACGUAUCCAACCUUCCCAUCACUCGGGGAUAGCCUUUCGAAAGAAAGAUUAAUACCCGAUAGUACUUUUUUGAGGCAUCUUAAGAAAGUUAAAGAUUUAUUGGUGAUGGAUGGGGAUGCGUUCCAUUAGAUUGUUGGUGAGGUAACGGCUCACCAAGUCUUCGAUGGAUAGGGGUUCUGAGAGGAAGGUCCCCCACAUUGGUACUGAGACACGGACCAAACUCCUACGGGAGGCAGCAGUGAGGAAUAUUGGUCAAUGGGCGAGAGCCUGAACCAGCCAAGUAGCGUGAAGGAUGAAGGUCCUAUGGAUUGUAAACUUCUUUUAUAGUAGAAUAAAGUGAUCCACGUGUGGAUUUUUGAUGUAUACUAUGAAUAAGGAUCGGCUAACUCCGUG